CUGGGGUGUCGUCGUGGGUCUCGCGUAGUCCAGGGAGGGUUUCCUCCUUCUCUUCCGCCUUGUUCAAGUUUUCACCGCAAGGAUGGAGGCUUCUUUCCUCUUUUCCUCUUCUGCUUCGUCUCACAGGAAGAGAGACGUUGUUCUUUGUCUCGUUUUCUGGCUUUGGUUUCGGGUUUUUGCAAGGCAAAGGAGGAGGUUUCGCUUUUCUCGUUUCUGUCUGGGUUUGUGUUUCGUAGGAGGGAGGUUCCUUUCCUAUCCUCUUUUUCUGGUCGUUCUGGCAGGGAGGUUCGUUCCAGCGUCUAAGCAAUGCGAGGAGCUCGGUUCCUCGGCGUUCUCGUGGUGAUCGGGAUCACGGAAGCUCCCUCUUUUGAAGCAACCUGUGACGGUAGCAGAAUGGGCUGCAUUCUUGAUUCGCGUUUCUGAUUAGGGUUUUCUGAAAUUGGGAAUUUUGGAGGUUUUGGAAUCUAUUAUUGCAAAUUGGGGUUUCUGAUCUUGUUCUUCUAAUUUGGGAAUUCUCUUUUAAGAGCUUUGUUCUUGUUUUCAGAAAUUGUGUUUUGGAACCAAUCGAGAUGUUGGGGUUCUGGCUUUCAGAUUCUGUUUUGAGAAUGAGGUUCCUGUUUUGAGUUCAUGACCUUAGGGUUUGAGUGUAGGGUGUUCGAGUUAAAUAUCUGGGGUUUUGGCUCUUCGUGUGAUCGGAGGUUGAGUGCUUGGUUUCGAUCGGCAUUGGGUCUGACGAUGGUGGUUUCCACCUUCGAGGUGGCCAGAGAGUACAAGCACAGGUUCAGACUGAAUGGCAGUGGGCCGUGGGUCGGUGCGGAUUGAACCUGGUUGGGCCUGCGCAGACCCAUGGUUGGACUUUGUGAAACUCAGAUUUUUAGAAUCGUUGAGACAACCUUUAAAACAAAAAAAAAAAGGUAAGGGAUAAAGAAAAAGUAAUGAAAUUUUAAAUAUAUUUGGAAAUCGAAACUCUAGGGUCCAAAAAUAAUGAUAAGAAAAAGAUUAUGUAUUUGAAAUUAAAAUAAUGGGAAUUAAAAUCAAUUAAUUAAUAGUUUAUGAAAUUGGAAAUAUGAAAUGAAUAUUAAUUGAUUUUAAAAAUGAAAAUAAUGAGAUUAUAAUUAUUAGUUAUAAUAUUAAAUUAUUUACUAAUUUUAAUUUGACAAUGAAGAAAAAUAAUGUGAUUAUAAUUUUUAAUUAGCUCAAUAAAUGUUUUAUUAUUUUUGGUUUAUUAUUAAAUGUUAUUUAUUUAUUUAUUUUGAUUUAUUGUUGGAGUAGAACUCACGUGGUGUUUAUGUUGAUUAAUUGAAUAUUUGAUUUUAAUGUUUGAUUAAAAUAAUAAAGGAUAUAUUAUUUUGGAUUGUUAUUGAAAUAUAUUUUGUUUUUUAUUGUUCGAGUGGAAUCUAUUGAGUACAUUGUAUUUUUAUUGAGCACUUAGAUACUGAUGAUUGAAAUGAGUGAGUGUUGGAAGUGGAAUGGGUGAGUGUAGGAGUUGUACGUGAACGAGUGGUUGAUCGAUGAGCAUAAGAGUGAGGAAUAGGUCCGCUUUUUGUACCUAGUAAAGCCUGAGACUAUCGAUCGGUCGAGAUAAUAACUUCCUGUGGCCUUGUAUGCGAAAAGGGAGUGCUCGAGUAUUGAGCCUUCCUUGUAUGGGGGGUGAUGGUGUUUGCUCUGUCCUUGUGUGGCAGGAAACAUGUUCCUUAUCCAAGUAGGUGGGACUACUCGAGCAGACCUGUAGGAGGGGCUACAGGGGACUUGUGGGGAGGUGUGGUGGAGUGUGACUAAUUCUUUUCACUAUGGAGUUGUGAUAUUGUG
rnacentral:lncRNA from 1 species